rnacentral:sRNA from 1 species
AACCAACCAUGCUGUGUGUGUGCCAGUC